rnacentral:rRNA from 1 species
AGCGAACGCUGGCGGCAGGCCUAACACAUGCAAGUCGAACGAACCUUUCGGGGUUAGUGGCGGACGGGUGAGUAACACGUGGGAACGUGCCUUUAGGUUCGGAAUAACUCAGGGAAACUUGUGCUAAUACCGAAUGUGCCCUUCGGGGGAAAGAUUUAUCGCCUUUAGAGCGGCCCGCGUCUGAUUAGCUAGUUGGUUGAGGUAAUGGCUCACGAAGGCGACGAUCAGUAGCUGGUCUGAGAGGAUGAUCAGCCACAUUGGGACUGAGACACGGCCCAAACUCCUACGGGAGGCAGCAGUGGGGAAUCUUGCGCAAUGGGCGAAAGCCUGACGCAGCCAUGCCGCGUGAAUGAUGAAGGUCUUAGGAUUGUAAAAUUCUUUCACCGGGGACGAUAAUGACGGUACCCGGAGAAGAAGCCCCGGCUAACUUCGUG